AACGAACGCUGGCGGCAGGCUUAACACAUGCAAGUCGAGCGCACCUUCGGGUGAGCGGCGGACGGGUUAGUAACGCGUGGGAACGUGCCCUUCUCUACGGAAUAGCCUCUGGAAACGAAGAGUAAUACCUUAUACGCCCUUCGGGGGAAAGAUUUAUCGGUAUCGGAUUAGCCCGCGUAAGAUUAGAUAGUUGGUGGGGUAAUGGCCUACCAAGUCUACGAUCUUUAGCUGGUUUUAGAGGAUGAUCAGCAACACUGGGACUGAGACACGGCCCAGACUCCUACGGGAGGCAGCAGUGGGGAAUCUUAGACAAUGGGCGCAAGCCUGAUCUAGCCAUGCCGCGUGAGUGAAGAAGGCCUUAGGGUCGUAAAACUCUUUCGCCAGAGAUGAUAAUGACAGUAUCUGGUAAAGAAACCCCGGCUAACUCCGUG
rnacentral:rRNA from 1 species